CAGUAGCCACGGUAAUACGGAGGGUGCAAGCGUUAAUCGGAAUUACUGGGCGUAAAGCGUGCGUAGGCGGCUUCUUAAGUCGGAUGUGAAAUCCCUGAGCUUAACUUAGGAAUUGCAUUCGAUACUGGGAAGCUAGAGUAUGGGAGAGGAUGGUAGAAUUCCAGGUGUAGCGGUGAAAUGCGUAGAGAUCUGGAGGAAUACCGAUGGCGAAGGCAGCCAUCUGGCCUAAUACUGACGCUGAGGUACGAAAGCAUGGGGAGCAAACAGGAUUAGAUACCCCAGUAGUCCCUGUCUCUUAUAA
rnacentral:rRNA from 1 species